AACGUAGGAGACAAACGUUAUCCGGAGUUACUGGGCGUAAAGGGCGUGUAGGUGGUAUCGUAAGUCUGGCGUGAAAUUUCUCGGCUUAACCGAGGCAGGUCGUCGGAUACUGCGAGGCUAGAGGGGCAAAGAGGAGCUUGGAACGAAUGGUGUAGUAGUGAAAUGCGUUGAUAUCAUUCGGAACACCGAAAGCGAAGGCAGAGCUCUGGGUGCCACCUGACACUGCUAGGACGAAAGCGUGGGGAGCGAAUGGG
rnacentral:rRNA from 1 species